rnacentral:lncRNA from 10 species
ACUUUGAAGUUCUGAGUUAUUGUGUGACUUUUGCUAGGAACUUCAUUGCUUCGUGGCAGGCAUGUUUUGUAUAAUUUAAAACUUGAUGACAUUAACUUUGAGAAACGUGAGUGCUUACUAGACCCUUGGGAUGUCCACACUGACUGGUACCGAGUAGUGUACUGUCUCUGAGCUGUUUUCAUUUUGAUUUGAAUAUUAAGCAGAUGGCUUCUUGAGAUAGACCCGUGCCAGAACAUGCCAGGGAUAGGCUGAAGAAACGGGCCAGAUGAUACAAAUUUGUGUGGUCACCAUCCAUGAGAGACCAGGGACACUGGGGCUGAUGAUGACCUCUGCAACUCUGAAGCAAAAGUAAACUAAUUGGCAAGUUGGGUGUGAGCCACUGCGCCCAGCUGUAGAUACUUUUUAAAAAGGUAUAGUUUCUGAUUAUGGGGUAGAAAUGUGCUAUGUCUGUCAUUUCAGCCUUAUGAAUUGCCCAGAAUAAGCUAGAUCACCUUUAAGGCCAUGUGGUUAGGGAAACUUGGGCACAGAAUUUACAUUUUCAACUUGGUGAUAAGAUGGGUUUAAGGUAAGAAUCAAAUAGGAGAAAGCCUUAGCUGUUCCAGCGGCCCAUGUUUAAAAGAAUGUGCUUCUUUUUCCAAGUAUUUCUGCCGCUUGCAUGCACUGAGCUUCUUUGGAAAGGAGCACCAUGCAGGCAUAUUUUCCAGACAGGACCGGAUUUGCUCGUUACUCAGAG